UACGUAGGUGGCAAGCGUUGUCCGGAUUUACUGGGCGUAAAGAGCGCGCAGGCGGUCGUCCAAGUCGCGUGUGAAAGCCCCCGGCCUCAACUGGGGAGGGUCACGCGAUACUGGUCGACUCGAAGGCAGGAGAGGGUAGUGGAAUUCCCGGUGUAGUGGUGAAAUGCGUAGAUAUCGGGAGGAACACCAGUGGCGAAGGCGA
rnacentral:rRNA from 1 species